UAAAUUUUAAAUUUUAAUUUUAUAUUUUGAAUUUUUAUUUUUAAUUUUUAAAAUUUUAUUUUUAAAUUUUGAAUUUUGAAUUUUGAAUUUUGAGUUUUGAAUUUUGAAUUUUAAAAUUUUAGAAAUUUAAUUGUUAUAAAUACUGUGGAAUUGUAUGAUAUGUAUUCAAACAGCUGUGAAAUUUUUUUGUAGUUACAGAAUUCCGUAUUUCAUUUAGACCAAAAUCAUAAAAUAAAAAUUCUAUGAAAUUUUUUAACUAUGUAUCCAAACAUGGCCUUAACUAUUUUAUUAUUACUGUUUAAAACAGUCGGUAGGUAUUUAUGCUCUUUCUUCUAGAAAAGGAAGAAAUUCUUAAAACCCAGGGUGUCGGGGACGGGUAUGGGCGCCCGUCGCCGUCCCUAGAUGCACGUUACAUGGGUAAACGUUAAAGCUAUUUUAUGAUUACUGUUUAGAAUAUUUGGUAGGUAUUACAAUGCAAUACUUAAUUGAGAGGGUAAUGAUGAAUGGCUAACAUUACAACAUCUUAAUGAGAUCAAUCUUCUCUCAAAGCAUAAAUCUGAGGCAACAAAACAUCAAGUAACCUAAUAGUUACAGGAAAGAAUCUCAAGUAGUUCUUGAUUCAACAUGUAAUGCUUGAACAAUCUACUGAUCCCUUUCGGAACACACCAAUAGUUACAGGCUCACACGAAGGCCGCGAUUGCUUUAGUCUCGGAAACCGAUUACACGGAAUAGAAUUCGAAACCCCAGUAGAAUUUCUCUUGCUGCCUAAAUCCAAAAACUUUAUUUCUCACAACCUGAGCUGCAGAUUUUGAAGCUCUCUUCUCUACAUUAUUGAUGGUACCUAGCAAAGUAGGAAGGCGAAAACAAACGCGAGCGCAUUGUCGAAGCACCUCGAUAGGUUACAGCAGCUAACUAGUUUUCUUGGAUAGCUUCCUUUUUUGAAUCCUUUCUCGCAAGAUAUUUGAAGCAGAGAUUGAGGCCCCUCGUCGCCGCCUCUUCGGCUUUCUCCCUCUUCGCUUUCCAGCAUAGCAGGGCUUCAGAUGUGCUUCUUGGGAAGCAGCACCGGCUUCUCCCUCUGCACUCGGAUCUUGAAUUGUGGCGGUGGUCGGGGCGGUGCUCUCCUCCUCGGAAGGGGAAUCGGCUUCUUCUUUCUUCACUAGAUCUUGUAGAGGUUGUUGCGAAGCCGUUGGGUGGUUGACUUUCUCAAAAUUUUGGUAUGCUUCUUCGGCCACUUGAUUAUAGAUCAAGACGUCGUCAUCAACAUUCUAAAGAAGGAAACAAGAGAAAUGUCAACUAGAAGUUAGAAACUUCUUUCUUUUCUCCGGUGAAUUAUAAAUCCAGGACCUGAAGUUUUGACUUCGAAAUCGAUUUUGUCUUCGCAAUUUCAUUUCGAACAAUUUAGUCCUCGAUAGUUUCAGUUUGACAAUUCAGUUCCUGAAGUUUGCGGCUGAUUUCAGUUCCGUCCCUCGAGUUUUCAAGUUUAACGGAUCAAAGUCCAGGGAUGAUGCUCCCGUUACAUGGUUAAUUAGAUAAUAAUUCAAAAGGACAUUGCUCUUCUGCAGAACAAACUUCGAGGACCAAAUUGUCACAAUCGAAACUGUAAGGACGAAACGAAAUAAGAGUCGCACUUCAGGUAGUAAGUUUUGUAAUUAACCCCUUCACACGGAAGGAAGAAAGGUUUAUCACAGCAAUAUCAACUAGGUCAUAAAGUUUAAGGUCUAUCUAAAUAUCUUCGGAUGUUGAUAAAAAACUGAAGUCGGUAAGAACGAGGCAAUCCAAAAAGGUGAUGAGAAAAAUAGGUAGAGAAAGUAAAAAAACGGCAUGAUCAUGUGUGUUUAGGAAGGAUUUAUCCAUAAUUUAUCUAGGAGAGAUAAUCGCAACAAAUAGGAUUGAGCAGCAAAAAGAAUGUAAUGCCACAAAGACAAAGUGAAAAUAGUUUCUUCUAGGGAAAAAAUCGUAAUAAACCCCCUUAGGAAGAAAGAAGAUUUUCAUUCAAAGGGGGAAGAAUUUAAGCUACAGAUUUUCAUCAUUUUGCCUCCUGCACCAGUGCUAUUAGGUGAUAUCUUUCACUUUUCUCAUAAUUCAAGGUAGCAGAAUGUAGGUUCUUAAUUUCAGGGGGCAUUCUGAACAUCGCAGUACCAAUAAAGGUAAUUCCUAUGUUUUAGCCCUUCCGUUAAGAAUUCGUAUUGGCCAAACCCACCAAGCAUGAGAUGAACUUUUCUGAAUUGAUGAUUUAAUAUAAAUAAGGAAAGAAAGAAGGAAAGAAACUGAGCAAUCUGAUCAACACAAAAAAAAAAAAAUCAUCAAUUAGGGAAAAGAAGGCAUUACCGCUUUGCACAAGUCUUUUAUGUGAUUUGGAUCAAAGGUUUUAUCAGCAGAGAAGAUAAAUCCUACAGCACUUCCAAUCUUAUCGAAAUCAGCUGCAUCCCCGUAACUCGAAACAGCACUGCCAGGUCUGACUGCAUCUUCCAUCUCAAAAUCCGACACAUUGUGGGGCGGGGUGUGGGGCCCCUCAGCCGGCAUUACUGCAUCUCCGUUCUUUCCAGGAGAGCAGCUAGCGCUCUGAGCGCAGUUGGUCUGGGCGUUAGCAAAAUUCCCCACCAAGGAUGUUUCUUUAACCGUUUUGCUUGUAGCUUUAGAGAGAUGAGACCUUAGAUUGAGAACUCUGGAUUGAACCGAUUCGAUGGUUAAGAGGAUUUCCUCUAAUGAAUCAUUAACUCCCUUGGAUCCGAAUAACCAGUGGGUAUCUUCAUUGCCUUUCAUGUUCUGAUCCACUGCUUUAUGGAUUUAUUUAAGAAUUAAAAACAGAAAUAAAUCUCAUUGGCAAUUUUAUAAACAUGUAUUGAGAGAGAAUUAUCAUCAAGCAAGAUUUGCAUAACAUCCAGAAACUUUCAGAAACCAGGCAUUUGGCUAAUGAAAGGUUGAGAUUUUGCGACGGCAGGAAGCAAAAAAAUGGGAUCUUGGGCCCCAAAAGCAAUAGUUCGGAAUUGAAGCUUCUACUCCGUACUCAUGCAACAUCAAUUAGAUGUUCUGGAGAUUUUAACAGAAAAAGCUGUUAGUGCUUCUUCAAACAACACUUCCUCAGAAGUUCUGGCUAGGCCAACUAGGUAAAUUACCUACUGAAAUAAUUGAUUGUAUAAAGAGAACAAAAAAAUAUAAAAUCAUUUGACGACAGAGCAUUACAUCUUAUCAAAAGACACAAGGUUAGUCCCGUCUCAAAGUAAGAUGUGUUUGUAGUUUUCACAUAAGCCCCUGACUUACAGGCCCAUUUGGCAUCCAAAAUUGGAUUGAAUAGGAUAAGAGCGAUGCUUGGGCGAAUAAUCCCACGACGAUGGAAUAAUUGAAUCACAACCGAGAUGUUGGUAUUGAAUGGGAUUGGAUGUAGCAAAUCCCUUACUCUCCCACUAGUUCCACCUACUAACCGUCAUCACCUCAAGUGGCUAAACCUUCUUUUCUCCCCUAACAUCGCUCUCUUCUAUUAUCUUAACAUAUUCAAUUCUGAAUGCCAAACAGGGAGUGGCUAAACCUUUGUUUCUCCCCUAACAUCGCUCUCUUCUCUUAUCUUAACAUAUUCAAUUCCGAAUGCCAAUCAGGGUCAAAGUAGUUAUGUCUUCAUAAUCUAAUCGCAGAAGCUGCAAUAUCCUCAACUAUUUGUCCUAAAGAAACCUUCUAGAUUUGUCACAUAUCUGUCUAUAUUAUUUGACUCAUCUUUACACCUGCAAACCGGCUCAAGUGGGUUAUAAUUGUUCAUAUUACUGCACCAACAGCCAAUUUGUUUCAGGUUGUGACAAGAUUUUCAUGAAUCUGUCCUAUUAUUUAGGUCACAUUAGAGAUCCAAGGAACAAAUAGUCGAACAUUUCACCAAUCUCCACACAAAGAGAACUGUAAAAUAUCAUUUGUUUCAGAGUUUUAUUUUGAAAAAACCUUUAAUUGAGUAGUUUACACUAAACCAGUCAAAAAACUUCUAGUAGCAAGAAUUUCAUAAAAUGAAAAAUUGAAUAACAGCAUUACAUGUGACUAAAGAAGAAUAAAAUUUUCACUAAUAGAUAUGGUAAGCAAGACUAGUUUGCGCUAAACCAGUGAACAAGCUUGUAGUAACAUUGGAUUUCAUAAAAUGAAAAACUGAAUAAGAGCAUUACAUGUGAAUAAAGAAGAAUAAAAUUUUCACUAAUAGAUAUGGCAAGCAAGAUAUAGCCCAUACUCCCUAUAGAUUGUUUCGCGCAAUAAUGAAGUCCUUUUUAAUCUACUGUCAAAAAUAAGAGGCCACGACAGCAUCAUUGUUAGACUGGAAACUCAAAAUUGCCAUGUAACUAUGUAAGUGAACUAUAAUAAUGACAUCUGGUUUAGAUGGUCGAUUAAAAACCAUCAGGGGCUCAAUUGUUUAAUUGAAACCUCAAAAACUGUCAUUUGACUUAACUGCCACAUAGGAUAAACUUCAAAGACUAGCUUGUGCUUGUUAAAGUUGGAACUCCAAGGACACAAUUGAAAUCAGGUUCAAAAUAUGGAGUAAAUUUGCAAUUAAAACAUGACUAUUCUAAAUACAUAAACGUAUAGAAGGAAAAAAUUGACAAGAAGAAGUUAAGCAAUCAUUUAUACCUAGAUCACCAUUAUCGUCGUCAAUUGAAUGACCAUCUGUCUCAGCUCUCUUAUUUUCUGCAUGAGUUGUGAAGGACGGUUACCAAAAUAUGACCAGGGUACAAUACCACAGAAGGGAUUUCAGCAUACAUAUACCAAUCAAAAUAACUAUAUUUGCAUGUAUAACCCUCAAAAGUUACAACUUAUAUCCAUACCCUUAGAAAUAGCCCAUAUUUACCCCUUUAAAGUUAUCAUCCUGCAUAUACCUUUAGAGAAAACCCAUAUUUGCAAUUGUGCCCCUGUUCUUGAAAGCUUUUCACACUUGAAAAAAAUUGGGUCUUCACACUAAAAAAGACGCCACCAGUUGAAAUGUUCAGGGUUACCAUAAUUUCAUGCCAAAACUCCAAUUUUUCAGUAUGAAAGCUCUCAAGCAGAGUGGCUUACAUGCAAAUAUGAUCUAUUUCUACGGGUACGGGUGCAAUAAAACCAUUUGCGGGCUAUAGAGAAAUACAGUCUACCUUUACGCGCAUAGAAAAAAUUGCAACUUACACCCAAAUCAUGUAUUUUGGAGGAUAUAUAUUUGCAUAUAUAUAUAUAUACAUAUGUAUGUACAUAUAUAUAUAAGCUAGGCUCCUAUGCUUUCGAAAGUACGGAGGCGUCCAUACUUGUAAGUUGUUUUUAAUAAUGGGACAUCCGAAUAAAGGAUCAGUUCCGUUAGACAUGAUUUACGCGCUAUUGAAACUAUCUAGAAACAAAAUUUUAUAAUUUUUGACUUCAUUUACCUAGUGAACGAAUAACCUCAAAAUGAACGGCUGAAAAUAAAAAUCUCAUAAAAAAAUAGUGAUAAAAGACUCAAAUUUCAAAUCAGAAGUAUUGAUGCUGCUAUUGAUGUUAAGUAGAAUUUUCUAUUAAAAUUUAAUGUGAUUUGGAAUGUUCUACACCGUUGAACUUAAAAACGUGCCACAUCGACUGUUAAAAUAGUCAUUUUUGAGACCUUUUGAUCACUUGGUAAAUAAUGUCGAAAAAUUAUGAAAUUUAGUUUCUAGAUAAUUCUAAUAGCCAAGAUUAUGCCUAACAGAGCCGAUCGUCGAAUUGGAUGUCCUAUCAUCGAAAACAACUUACAAACACAGAGGUCUCCAUACUUUCGAAAGCACAAGAGACUUACUCCACACACACACACACACACACACACACACACACACACCCAAAUCAUGUAUUUCGGAGGAUAUAUAUGUGUGUGUGUGUGUGUGCAGAAAUCCCUAAAUAAUUGUAAAAUUGUGAGAAAGAGAAGAGAAUCAGCACCAUAAUAAGAGAAAAAAACAUGGUUCGACAUAUACGACGAUGCAUCAACUAUAUCCUCGUAUCUCUUUCUUUUUCUCCUCUUCAUGGCAUUUCUUCUAUUACUUUGACAAGUUAAAGGCACAGAUCUUGAAACAGAUCCAUCCAAUUCAAUCAUUUUCGAGUGCAGUUCCUUUUCAUGCUCCAAUAAAGCAACCUCCCUAUCAUACUUUUGCGCUUGAGAACUACAUUCAUGAAUAUACAACAGCACCUUCUCGAUCUGCCACUGGUGCGGUCUGAUGUAUGCUUUCCAAUGAGGAGUCAGCUUUUUCUUCCUGGAACAAAUAAUGGAAUGCCAUUCAUUUGUCAAUAACAUGUGAGAUAUCAAAAUAUGGCAAAUAAUAGUGUCAAAGAAAUUGCCUAUUCAACAUAAUAAAUGAUAAGCAGUGUUUUUUCACAAAGGCCAAAUGAAUAGGGUUUCUAUGCUUAUUGGAACAAAUAGUGGUGGAAAACAAGUGAACUAAUAAAAUCAGCAGUAAAUCCCCAUUUCACAUAAAUUUUUCUAUUUGAAUUUGUUCAAAACCAAUAUUACACUGUUUGUCAUGGAUAUUUUGAAAAAGUGGGAUACAUUUACUCAGAUUAGUGGGCAUUGUUGCCAAUAUUUAUUAAGUUGAUGACUUGAUGCUAUCUUACCUACUCAGCUACCCAGAACACACAUCAUUCAAUUACUCUGCUAUCAGUUUUUGCCAUCAUGUCCUACAAUGCUACUGGUUGAAUAAAUUGUACAAAACUUGAUUGUUUCGGAUUGGAUCAAACCCAACUUAAACCCUUCUCUAAUCCAAUAUACAACUGCAUAGUUGCCCCUAAGCAAACAAAGACACAAGGGCUGAGAUCGACAACAGAAAAUACUCAAGAGAUAAGCAGAUUGACAAAAACAAUAUGCUCCAAGUUCUGAAUAAAACUUAAAUUCACAAGCCAUCUAUCUGAUAUUCUCCCAUUUGAAGGAUUCUCAUAUCUUCCCUAUGAAGGUGUAUAUGCCAUAGUGGUAAAUUGCCCUGUUAUCUCAUUUGAGAAAGAAAAAUGCCUUGCGUAUGUAUAGUGAGAAAUCCCAUGGUUCAAGAAAAAAAGGGCAGGGUGACCACCAUCUUUGUGGCAAAAUAUUCCAUCGUAAGAGAAUACUCCAAUAGCUUACAAAAUAUUCCAUUGAACGAGGUAGUCAAAUCAAUUAUGAUGGCAGGAUGGUGGUAAAAUUAACACUUUUGACAUUCAUAUAAUCUUUUUAAAGCGCGCUACUGUUAGUACAAGGAAUGCAAAAAAAAUUACCUAUAUUUUACAGAUAAGAAGCUUACUUGAAAAUGCCAGUCCCAUUCAAAACAGCAGCAUCCCCUUUUGGUGCACUAUAGAGAGAUUCAGCUUCUCCAUCACUCCCAUGCGGCUUCAACUCACUAUCCGACUCUGAGAAACUAUCUCCAAAUGAGCUCGAGUAUUCGGUGGCGUUGGGAUCUUCAUCUUUCACUGGCUCAACAGCAUUUUCUUUCCCGCAUUCAAGAAUAUCAACUUCUUGAUCCAUAAAUGCAUCUUCCUUCCUCCGAUCCGCAAAGGCUUCUACGUGAACCGAACUGUCCGCAUAGCUAUCCAUGCAAACCAAUCCCGCCGCAUCUUUGGGAUCAACAAAAUCCUUAAUCCCCUCCUCUAGUUCAGAUUUGAUAAUUAAAUUGGGUUUUCUUUCUUCUUCUGUGCCCUCUAGGGCUUGGGAAGGCCCCAUAAUUGGCAAAUUUCACUUAAUGGGACAAAACUCUAGGUUUUUUCCAGCUGCCCAAGAAGAAAAAUGCCAUCUUUAUAAUUCAGAACAUAAAAAGAUUAUUAAAAACUAAUAAUACCAACUGAUUCCAGCUACAGUCAAGAUAUCUACAAUGAAAGACCCUAAAUUUGAGAGAUCUUAACUUGAUUUGUGCGGGAAGUGGGUGGAGGGCACAAACCCUAGAUUCUUUUGCAGGAUUUUAAAAAAAAAAAAGGAGAGAGAGUUCACCUGAAUUAAUUAAAAAGGGAGGGGUGAAAAUGGAUAGGAGACAAUCGGAUAUUUGGUGAAACCAUAUCCGCAUCCAUUUGUUUUUAGAUACAAACUCGGGUACGGAUUCAAAAUACAAAUCGUACAUUUCUUCGUAUUCAAAUAUGGAUCGAAUUUGUAUUCGGAUAUUAUUCAGAUAAUAAUAUAUAUUAAUAGGCACAUAUAAAUAUGAACUAGAAUUAGCAACAAUGCGACUAAAAUUUCACACUCGCAUUCAAAUUCAAGCCUAAAUUUUAUUGAAUAAAAUCUAAACUUGACAAACAUAAAUGCAAUUAUAAUAUGAAUCUCAUAAUAAAAUAAAUGAAGAACACAAUAAUUCAUCUUCUUCCCUCACAAUAUAUAUUAACGUCCCUCUUAUCUCCCCACAAAAAGCAAUCAAGCUCCGCCAUGUCCCCACAAAUAGCAAUUAAGCUAUAUCAAGCAAUCUAAAACUUUUGUUUAUCAAAUCAAAGAGAAGGUUAGAUACUCCAUAAUUUAAGACAUACCAAUCUUUUAUAAAAAUGUAGAACUACAGAUCCAUUAUCCCGAAUAUGAUUUACGAGAGUAUAACCAAACAAAACACAUAAAUCACAACUAAUCAAAUCAAAACCUUUUAACAGCACUUUUUCCACACAAAAUAUAUUCGAUCAAAACGACGCAUUAGAACCUUUCUUCUUUACAGCUUGUUACUCGAGUAACUCAACACGGGGGAGAGGCUUACCACAAGAAGAACAACUGGAUGAGUGGAUCCAAAACCUAGAGCUCCGGUCCCCACCAGGAGAGCGAAAGAGACAACCCUAGAUAUCGCCACCAACUCCUCGAUCUUGUGUCGUCCUCCUCGCGAGAGUGGGCCGAGCGCGGCUCGGAGUUCGGACCCGAACCAAAUGAGCACCUGAGAAAGGGGAAACCCUAACCCUAGAUCUCGUCGCAACUACACCACCUCCUCUUUGUCCUCGUCGCGAGAGAGAGAGAGAGAGAGAGAGAGUCGGGUUUAGGGUUUCGUCGGAAUCGGUCGGGGAAUGGAGAGAGAGAGAGAGAGAGAGAGAGGGAAUUGUAAUAUUGUUAGAUGCAUUCCAAUAAAAAUAUGUGCAAAAUUAAAGAAUUCUUUUUCUUUUUUUUCUUUUUGGAAUAUACUAAGGCUUUGUUUGCCAUCAUCAUCGUUAGUUAAUUCAGAUUCAGUAAAAAUUCAAUACGGAUAUAAUGUGCAUACAUUUUUUUUUUAAUUUUUAAAUUUGUUGAAAAAUUUAGUUUAAAAAAAAUUCGGUAUAAAAUAUAAAGUAUAAGAUAAUUUAUAUUUAAAUAUAAAAAUUAUAAAUUUUUUUAUUCGAAUUUUCAAUAAUUCGGGAAUAAUUCGCAAAUAAUUUAUUCACGAAUUAUUCGGCUGGCCUAAAAAUUCGCGAAUAAUUUAUUUUUUUGGAAAAAAAAUUCGUAAACACACCAUUUAAUUCGAAUUUUCAAUAAUUCGUGAAUAAUUCGCAAAUAAUUUGCGAAUUAACUAACAAAGGUUGGAAUUACGAGAAUAUUAUGUUACGUGAGGUGAGAAAGUAUAAUGAAAAAAAAAUUCUAUUUAUUUCCGCAUGUAAUAUUGCAUGUAAUAUUGCAUUCCGCAUAUCGACUAGUUAUGAUAUAUUUUCUGCGAUCGCACUAGAAAACGUAGAAACAUAUCUCUAUAUGUUUUUACUCCAACUCUAUUUUAUUUAAUAGAGUUAGAUAGAUCUUAAUACCAAACUAAGUCUAAAAAACAUAAACUAUGUACCACUAUGAUUCUGAUUUUUUUAAAAAAUUAAAUUUUAGUAUCUAAUUAUAGAUUUAAUUAGCAACCUUCGUGCAAAUCUCAUAACUAUAAAUUUAUUAAAAUAAUAAAUUAGCUUAAAUUUAAAGUUGGAAUAUCGUUGACCAGCUUAAAUCAAAUAAACUGAAAGGUUAGAUAUUAAAAUUAAAAUUUUGAAAAGGUUGCAUAGCCAAUCUAUAUCUAUACCUCUAUACCUUACCUAUAAUUAAUCUUUAAAAGAAAUGCCACGUGGUUGUGUUUCCUUCACUGUUGGUUUUCACCUUAUACAACCAACCAUAUUCGCCUAGGGAUGUAAUGUGGGCGGUGCCCGGCCGGCACGGCCCACAUUUGUGGGCCGAAAGGCGCGGGCCGCGCACAGCCCGGCACGGCCCGGCCCCAAAAUCGGGCCGUGCCGUGCCGGGCCAAAGUUCUUGGAACCCGGCCCAGCACGGCCCCCCGGCCUGGACUACACAGGCUGUGCUGGGCCGGGCAGGGCUUCGGGCCACUUUUUUUUAUUUUAUUAAUUUUAUUUAAAAAUUUUUAAAUAUUUUUAAAAAUAAAAAUAAAAAUAUUAUUUUUAAAAAAUAAUAUAUCAGUAAAAAAAUUUAAAAUUUUAAAAUAUAGCUAUAAAAAUAUUAAAAUUUUAAAUUAUUUUAAAAUUUUAAAUUUUUUGGAUCAAAAUACCCUCCCAACAGUCAAAUUUUUGACUGUUGGGAAGGGCAUUUUAGUCCAAGCACAACCCCCAAAGUCACUUGACUGUUGGGAGUCCCAAAGCAACAGCUCCCAAAGUAUUGGGAGUUGGGUAGUGCAGGUCUUGGGAGUUGGGUUGUACCCAACUUGUAAGUCCUUGCCUGGGCCCAGCUCGGGAGGGCCUGGCCACACGGGCCGGGCCUGGGUACUCUUUAGGCCCGGCACUGCCCAGGCCUAUGUCGUGCCGGGCCGCGCCGGGCCAUCGGGCCGCGGGAGCAAGGCCCAGCACGGCCCAAUUUAACCGACCGGGCCGAGCCGGCAGGGUACGCUACAGUACUCGUGUCGUGCCUGGCCCGGCCCGUUUGACACCCCUACAUUCGCCUUUCCUACGCUCCUAACGUCUAAUUAACGCAUCCUCCCAACUUAACCAUAUCUAAACCGUAAACUUAAAAACCUACACAAAAAGCCCAACUCUUUGUCUUCUCUUCACAUAUAACGUUUAAUUAAUGCUUCCAUCCACCCUAAUUCUAAUAUAAUCGUAAAUCAUACAAACUCACACAAAAGCCUCCUUCUCUCCUAUGCAUGUCAUGACAAUAAAAGACUACUCCUUUUCUAUAAUAAAUUAUGACCUCCUUCAUUUGGCAAAAGGUAUGGCAUCCAUUUAUUUUUUUUCUUUUUUUUCUUUUUUGUUAACUCCUAGUUUUAGUGUAUUCUCCUAUUCUCAUUUAGCAUGAGGCGUGAGAUUUAUAGAUCUUUUUUUUUUUUUUUUUCAACUCCUAAUUUUAGUAUCUUCUCAUAUUCUCAAUAUUCGCCCUUUACCUCCUCCCAGCCCUUUUUUUUCUCCUACCCAGCUCGCGCGUCUUGUCUCCUUCUUUACCAUCCGUUUUUCCUAACUCCCACAACCCUACAUCCUCUUUUUUUGUGUAGAGUUCUUUAGAUGCUUCAAGUCAUAAUGGUGGCGGAGGCGGUGAAUGUGAUGGCAAUAGAGACCAAAGCAACGGCGGCCGCUGCGGCUGUGAAAAAAAGCAUGGGCAAUGGCAGUGGAGAUCGAGGUGGCGGCGAAAGCAAUAGCAAGUCUCACCCUUUUAGAGACCAAUACCAAGUGAGAGUUCCUCUAUAUUUUUUUUUUUCUCUCUCUCUUAUGUUUUAUUUGUUAUCUAUUUUUAACCUAUUUUACAGUAUUUUUUGGGAUUAUUUGAUAGUUUCUAUUUAAAGUGAGUUGGAUUGGAUUAAAAAUCUAAUGUUUCGAUAAUACCUGCCAGCCGCAUCGCGCGGAUAACUACACUAGUUCAAAAUAAUUCUUAGUUUAUAUAAGUUAUGUAUAUUUUUACCAUAUAUUAAAAAUUUUGUAUUCUUAUAAAUCAUAUUCAUGUUUGUGCUCGUCUAGAUCUGAAUAUUUUUUAGGGGUAAUUGCUUAUAUAUUCCUGAAAAAUUUUCGACUUUCAUAUUUACCUCUCUUAGUUAAAAGAGCUAAUAUAAAAAUAUCCUUUCAAAGUUCCAAGUUCUUUCAAAAUGUAUCCUUAUAAGUUAACUGGAUCAGCUGUUAUCUCUGUGAAAUACUGUUUUUGCCAUUUCAAAUAUACUCUUUAUCAUCACCAAUUUUUCUUAUUUGUCCUUAAGUUAGGGUAAAAAAGCUUUAGUUUGGAGCAAAAUAGGUAUUUUAACUAUUUUUUAACUAUGGUUGAAACUUAACUCAAGUUUAUCCAAUAUAACUUAACGGGCACUAAUAGGAAGGGUAUUUUGAAUAAUAGAAACAUAUGAAGGGUAUAUUUACAACAAGGGUUUUUGCAAUAUCCCCUGAUAAAUUUUAUUUGCAAAAAUAGCCCCGUCCAAAAAUUAUUUGCAAAAAUGGCCCUGCCCCUGCCACACCAGCGCUACGUUAGCGCCACGCGGGCAGGGGCGGGCCCAGGUGUUUAAGUUGAACACGGUGAACCAUUCACCGUGUUCAAUACAAAAUUUUUGUAUUGGACACGGUGAAUGGUUCACCGUGUCCAAUACAAAUACCCCAACAAUGAGUAAGUUGGAGGUAUUUGUAUUAGACACGGUGAACCAUUCACCGUGUCCAAUUAUUUGUAUUGGACACGGUGAAUGGUUCACCGUGUCCAAUACAAAUAUUUCGAUCUUAACUAUUUUGUAUUGGACACGGUGGACACGGUGAAUCAUUCACCGUGUCCAAUACAAAAACUUUGUAUUGAACACGGUGAAUGGUUCACCGUGUUCAACUUAACCAUCUGGCCCAGCCCCACCCGCGUGGCGCUUGCGUGGCGGGGGCAGGGCCAUUUUUGCAAAUAAAUUUUUGACAGGACCAAUUUUUAAAAAAAAAAAUUAUAAGGGGGCUAUUUGCAAAAAAAGCCCUUAUUAACUGGAUCAGCUGUUAUCUCUGUGAAAUUACUGUUUUGCCAUUUCAAAUAUACCCUUUUAUCAUCACCAAUUUUUCUUAUUUGUCCUUAAGUUAGGGGUAAAAGAAGCCUUUAGUUUGGAGCAAAAUAGGUAUUUUACUAUUUUUUAACUAUGGUUGAAACUUAACUCAAGUUUAAUCCAAUAUAACUUAACGGGCACUAAUAGCGAGGGUAUUUUUGAAUAAUAGAGAAACAUAUGAAGAGUAUAUUUACAACAAAAAAAGUAAGAGAAAACAAGAUAUUUCAAAAUUUUUGAGGAGUUUAGAGACAAUUAUUCUAUUUUUUAUUCGGAUAUGAAUGAGAUCGAAUCCGAGCGCGGACACAGUUGGACAUUUUUGAUCCAUUGUCAGCCCUAUUUCCAAGAAUAUUCCAUAAUUCAUAAAAUUUGCUUUUAGGAGGGCGGAGGUCUUCAUCUUGCUAAGCCGUUUUAGAUGAUAUGAAUUUUUGGAUCGAUGAUUAGAACCGUUAAAAUUGAUUUAAGAGUAUUUAAAGUGUCUGUAAACUAAAUUUCAUGAAUUUUAAAAAUUAUUUACGUAGUAAUCAAAGGAUCACAAAAUCUAUAGAUUUUGACGGUCUAUAUGAGCCAUGCUUGUUUAAAGGUGUAGAACAAUCCAAAUAAUUUGAAUUUUUGAUAGAAAAUUUUUUAUACUAUUUAAAUUACGUUUGAUAAUUUCUAUCAUGAAUUGAAAAAAUCUAACAGCUAUCUUCACAAGGUUAUUUAUUUUUGACCAUUUAUUUGUCGAUUUCUUCAAUGAACUUGAUAAAAAAUUUUAAAAUGCAUGAAAUUUAGUUUUUAAACAUUAUAAAUACUCUAGAUCCACUUUAACGAUUCUGAUCAUCAAUUCGAGAUCCCUACCAUUUGGAACGACUUAGUCAGAGUGUGAUGAGUAAGGGUUAGAUUUUCGAACAAAAAGAAUUAAGUAAACUUGCAUGGAGUUCCCCCUCAAUUAUAGGAUAUUAUGAAAUAGCCCCCUAUCAGCUUUGUCACUAUUCUUUAACUUUGAUCCUUCUUAUCUUUUAAUUUUCUAAAAUUAAAUUAAAAAUUAUCAACUUUAUUAAUAAUGACCAUAAAAUAUAUAGCUCCGUUCACAUUUUAACAACUAAAACUAAAAUAAUUAUAAUAUAUUAAAAUUUUAAUUUAACUAAUUAAAAUUAAAUUAAUUAAUAAAUUAAAAAUUAGGGACGUGUAGAACCUCCUCUACAUCUAGGGAUGUCAAUGGGUAUGGAUACCCGAAAUUUUAUCCGAACCCGAACCCGAAUGAAACGGAUAUAUCCGAUGGAUAUGGAUAUGGAUUUGGAUAUGGAUAUAAAAAAUAAAAACCCGACGGAUAUGGAUUCGGAUAUGGAUUUUGAUUGUAUCCGACCCGAACCCGAACCCGACCUGAACCCGAAUUUAUUUUGUAUUAUAUAUAAUAUAUAUAUAUAAAUUUGAUGUUAUAUUUGAAUUUGUAUUUUAAAAAUUUAAAUUUAAUAUAAUAUAUUUUGAAAUAUUGAAAAAAGAAAUAAUUGUUUCAGGUUCAAAUUUUCGGGUUCGGGUUCGGGUUCGGGUUUCGGAUUUUUGGUCGGGUUCGGGUUUGGAUAUGGAUUUUUAAAAUCCGUCGGGUUCGGAUUCGGGUUCGGGUCUCGGGUUUGGAGUCGGGUUCGGGUUCGGGUUUUUAAAAAUCCGCCCCGAAUCUGACCCGUUGACAUCUCUUAGACUACAUCUCUUUCGCUAUCUCUUUGGCCUCCUCCGUCAUCUUCAUUUUACCACCACCGUCGUCAUGCGUGGUAGCGGAGACGGAGCUAGCUAGACCUCGUCAUCCUCCGCUUAUUCGACCACAUAUUGCUUCUUCAUAUUAUGGAAACAAUAAUAAUAACCUACAAUAACAAGAAGAAGAUGAUGAUGAUGAUAAAGUUGCACCAUUUAAAAUUAAUUAAAAUAUACUAUUUAAGAUUAGUUAAUACUUCCAUUGUUAUAAAACUCUUUUCCAGCUAUAUAUGUCGAUACUAAGGCCUCUUAUAUGUGCUUACGCUUUUUAUUUUUUUUAAGUCAAUUCUACAUCAUUUUAUGUGCAUGUUGACAUUGGUUGCAAUAUAUAGAUCCGAUAUAUAGGAUUUGUUUGAUAAAAGAAUAAAAGAAUAAAAGAAUAAGAUCAAGGUUCAGUAUUAACUUUUCUUUCAUUUUAGUUUUACUUUUGUUCCAAAAGAAUAAGUUUGCAUAUUAAUAAACAAUGACAUGAGUAUCAAAUUCCAUCUUUCGUUGUAUCAAAGUUGCACUAUGAUAUAUAUAUAUAUAUAUAUAUAGAGUGAGGCUACUAUGCUAUUAAAAGUUAUAAUUUUAGAUUAUUAUUAUUAUUAAAAGUUAUAAUUUUAGGUACUCCAAAUACUCUACUAUGCUAUUUAAAAUUAAUAUUUAUAAUUUUUAAUUAUUUAAAUUUUAAAUUUGACAUUUUAUAUUUAUAAAUUUAGAUUUAAUUUAAAAUUUAAAAUUUAUAACUUUGAAAUUUGAAAUUUAAAAAUUUAGAUUUUAAUUUUAAAAUUUUCUAUUAAAAGUUAUCUAUUUAAAUUUGAAAAUUUAAAUAUAAAAUAAAAAAUUUAAAUUCAAAUAUAAUAUUAGGAUAAUAUUUAUUAUUUUCUAUUUAUAACUCCCCACUAUUUUUCUUAUCCCAUCUUAUCUAUCCAAACGACUCUUUUUUUUUAUUUCUAAAUAAUCAAUUUUUAUUCAAUAUAAAAUUAAUUUAUUUCAGUAUCUAUUCAUGAAAUAACUAUAUUUUUUUAUUAAUUCCGAAUCUAACGGAGUCUCUAAUUAUUAAUUUUAAAAAAUAAAAAAUAAAAAAAAAAAAACUACAAAUAAAAUUAAUAAAACCUCCCCUUUCGCUUUCUCUCUCUCUCGUGUUCGUUUUCGCGUUCCGGAGCCCGGAGCCCGGAGGGGUCGCAUCCUCUCCCUCCCCCUCGCAAAACCCUAACCCUAACCCUAACCCUAAUUCGUUCUCGUGCUUCGAUUCCUCCUGCGACGCCGCGGUGUUCGACGGAUUCGCGCAGAAAUCGGCGAGGUUCCUCUCUCGUCGCCCCUCUCUCUCGUCUCUCCUCAGCUCUCUUCUCUCUCUCUCUCUCUCUCUCUCUAUCUCUCUCUUGGUCCCUCUCUCUCUCAGCUCGAUCUCCUCUCGCGGUGGCGAUAUGGACGACGGCGGCGGCGGCGCUACAAUCCGCGGACGCCGGAGGAGGUGUUUAGGGAUUUUAGAGCGAGAAGGGCCGGGAUUAUCAAAGCCCUAACCACUGGUCUCUCUCUCUCUCUCUCUCCUUCUCUCUCUCUCUCUCGUUCUCGCUCUAGUUUUGGUGUUGGAUUUGGUAGAGAUUAAGUUUGAUUUGGGUUUCGUGGGUUAAUUUGAUCUAACGAGGGUUUUUUGGUUGUUGGUGAUGCAGAUGUGGAGAAGUUCUACCAACAGUGCGAUCCUGGUGAGCUUCAUAUUUAUUUUAUUCUUAAUUUGGUGGUUCUAGGAUAUAUUAUGUGUUCGUUUUUUCCUUUUUUUUUCUUUUUUUUUUUUUUUGUUGUUGUUGGAAUUGGUAUUGUUUUUUUUCCCUUCCUACUAUGUUUUUUUUUUUUUUUAUCUUUUUUGAAUGUAUGUUAUUGUAGGAAGUCUGAUAGCUUUGGCAAUCGUAAAUUAUGUGUUUUUAUAUAAUUUUGGAAUUUUGGAGUGUUGAGUUUUGUUUGGCCAACUCUAUAGAAAGAAUCUGUGCUAAUGCUUAUUGUUAUUGUGAAUUGAAAAUUGUAAAAUGUUGUUCUGUGUGUUCUACCUCUUCAAACUGGCUCGCGGUCACCUGUUUAAUUGGUUUUCUUUGUCCCUUUUGCUAUUCUCAGUUAUGAUACCAUAAAUCCAAUUAUUUUGGCCUAAUUGGGGUCAAAUUUUAUUUACCUUUGUCACACAAGUAAGUCCGAUUGGUUCAACGUAAAACCGUGAAAAAUAAUUUUCCGUGGAAAAAAAAAAAUCGGUGGAAAAAAAGUUUUACGUUUUGUAGUGUUUGGUUCGUAGGAAAAAAAAAUUUGUUUUCCAUCAACAUUUGUUGGUUGAAAGAAAAAAAAUUCACAUUUGUUUGGUUCAAUGGAAAAAAUAAAUGAAAAAGUUUUACGCAGCUUGCGUUUUCGUUUUCCCCCGAAAAACAUCGGAAAACGAAAACUUCAAUUUUUCUCCCGAUCCUUAAAAAAUGCUUUUACAGAAAAAAAAAUUUUACAUCGAACCAAACAAGCAGAAAAGCAUUUUUCAUACCGAAAACAAUUUUUCGGUUCGUUUUACGUCGAACCAAAAGCCCCCUAAAGUGAAAAUGAAACAUGGUUGGAGUAAAUAAGUCAACUUGGUAAUUUUUUUGUUGGGAAUUGGCUAGUCAGUUCUCUUAACCUGUAGUGUAGUAGGAAAGUAAUUUUUUGACAGAAAUUUUAUACUUGGUGUAACCAGUCGUACGAAAGGAUCCGAGGUUGGGUACAAUUUUGAUUCUUGGUAUUCUCUGACGUUGUAAGGACCCUAUAUAUCAUUGGGUGCUCUUCAAGUAUGAAUUCUUAUACUAAAUGCCUUUUGUUGUUUAUGAGCUGAACUAAGAUAUGAAUUGAUCAAAAAAUACUUCUUUGUGUUGCUUUUCUCUUUUGGAACUCUUCUUUUUUGUAUCCCUAAUCUUCAGAGCAAUUUGAUUAUCAUUUGAACAAGGAGACGACUCUAUUGUCUGUUCAUGGGUGACAAUGGUGCACUCCAUCGAGAAUGAGAUAGUUGGGUAUAUAGGGAAAGAUAAACUAUAGAGAGUUGUCAUUGAUUCAUUCAUGCCUAAUUGUAAACUAACUUGUCGUAUAAGAAUGUAGUCAUUUCAUAUUUAAGAGGUCUUAACAUGACAAGAACUCUUAAUAGACUCUUUACUAUUAUAACUUCUCUAAACAUGACAGCUGUAUAGAGAUAAAGAUACCAAAUAUGCCUAGUAUCAUGCCAUUCUGAGUUUGUGACCUCUUGAAAUAAUCUUGUCAAAUGUUGAAAUAUUUUUACCAACAAGAUUAGUAUACUGAACCUGGCAUGUAUAGACAACAUAUCUUUGUUGAUCAAAUGGUAUGAUGAGGCACAGUCCAUGCAUGUCAUAAGUCUUGUGCUUUUGCUCCUGUGCACAAACAAAUAACCGAAUUGUUGUGACAGCAAAUAAGCAAAUUGUUGAAACAAGGUCUGAUUUUUGCUUGUUUAUCGUUCCACUGAUAAAGAUGAUUCAGUACCGUUUGGUUCGGGUAUAAGCAAGAACUAGCUAUUAUAGGAAUAGGUACAAGUAUGGGGAUAAGAAAAAUAGUGUUUGGAUGAAAAUUGGGUUGUUCCCGGGGAUAAGAACAAUUUUAGAUAGUUUUAUAUAGAAAAUAGAGGUGUUGGUGGGGAUAACCGAGAACUACUAUUCUCGGGUAAAAAAUUAGCAUUUGGGUAUAAAGGGGGGGAUAAGGGCCUAUUCCUAUACCUAUCCCCUAACCAAAUGCUGGGUAUGGGAUUGUGUUAUCAGUAGUAUACAGUUUAUUGAUGUUUUAUCAUGACCGCAGUGAGUAUAUAUUUUUACUUUUGCGCAAGUGGGUCUUUAAUAACUUUUCUCAUCUCCGUCUGUAAUGUCUCGCUAGUCUCAUCCUACAAUGGUUUUGAAAAUUCAAAAAGUUUGUCGGUACUCUAAUUUUUUCUUGUUGGAGUUUCAAUCCAUUGUAAUCUUUUUUUAAAGGAUUAACCACGACCACUUGGUUACCUUAAUAACUCUUCUAUUGCUGUGGCUUCUUAAAAACAAAUCCUUUUUGUACAGUCGUUUGGAACACUUAAAAUAUUAUAGCGAAUUUAACUGAUAUGUCGCUCCUAAAUUCCUCUUAAAGAUCAUUAGUAAACAAAUGUAAGAGUGAGAUUCUUGCGGCAAGGGAGUUAUUCAAGACAUGCAAUGUGUUCUCUAAUUGCUCGUGAAUGUUCUUGCUCUAGGUUUGUCAACUCAAACAGUGGAAUGGGCAGUCCAUGUUUCUUUUCAACUCUUCUAUAUUUGUUGAAGUUCUUUACCAUAGAGAGGGAGUAUAGAGUAGAAAAAGAGUGGAAAUGGAGAAGAAGAAAGUAGGGGGAGAGGAAACAUUCCUCAUAUGUUUUGUCUGCAGUGCAAUGAAAUAUUUAUAGAUCCAUCAUCCAUCAUUUAACUAACAAAACCUAAGGACAUUUCCUAUUAAGUCCUUUUGAUGUAUUAAGACCUAGUAUGAGAUUCUAUUUGUAAUCAACCUAUAGAACAAGGUUUUUAUGUGAACAAUCAUACCUUAAGACUUGUUAUGUUUGUUGUUUUCCCUCUCCGCGUGCUAUAUCAAGAAGAUUUUGCAGUUCUCUACACAAGUGUGCUGUAUACUUGUAGGAUUUAGUACAUGAAGGCCUAUUGAUGGAUCGGUGUUGAAUUCCUGAUAAUGUGAUACCUUUUUCCUUUUUUCUUUUUUCUUCCGUUUUUGCAGAGAAGGAGAACUUAUGUCUGUAUGGCCAUCCUGAUGAGACUUGGGAAGUGAACUUGCCUGCUGAGGAAGUCCCUCCUGAACUUCCAGAACCAGCAUUAGGGAUAAAUUUUGCUCGUGAUGGGAUGGAAGAAAAGGAUUGGUUGUCUCUGGUCGCGGUUCACAGUGAUUCAUGGCUACUGUCUGUUGCCUUCUACUUUGGAGCACGUUUUGGGUUCGACAAGGAAUCAAGGUAUCUCUUUAUCCAUCCCUUUGGUGUUAUUUAUGUUUGUUGUACCCAUUUUUAAAAAAGCAUUUUGUCAUGUGUUUUAGCUAAGACUAAAUGAAUGGUGCUGUUGUUAUGUAGUCUCUCUCAUAUUAUGCUGAUUCAAAAAAGAUAAUACAUCUAGAUUUUAAGGGCUCUUAUUUUCACUCCCACUAAUGGGAGGUCUAGGGAGAACAAGAUUCAAAUAGGCAAGCAGAUAUAGGUUUAACUUCAUACCCUGGGCUUUUUCUGGAAACUUUUGGCUACAGAACCCCUUUUAUCAGGACUAUGUCAUUAGUUUGUACUCCAGUGGCUUUCCAUGGGGUUUUGAUCUUGUUUUUUUAAUUCUUUUUAUAUUCACAUAUCUCAUGCUUUUCCAUGCAAUUAUCAUAUCUUUCCUCGAUAUGUUUCAUACUAGGUUUACAUUACUGUUUUUUAGGUAGUAGUACUGCAAAUUUAGUUCUAUAAGCUUGCAAUGUGGGACUCCUACAUGAUUGGAUUUGAAUUUGAUUGUUGUAUGAUGUUCUUCUCACCUGUUUCAGAAUGCAAUCAUGACAUAUAUUAACUUUGCAACUCACUGGAAUUACUUGUAGCUUGAUCCUUCUAGCUUGGUACUUCAUGAUUCAAAAUUACAAUGAUGUUUGAACUUCCUCUUGAAGGUAAUCUCGUGUGGCACCUCUAGUAUCUUGUUUCUUUUUGAAUGUUUUACUGAAGAAAGACGAUAAGCAUAUAUUAUGCUUCAUCUCUCAAAUGCGGCUGCCUUUUCUGUUUACUUUCAGAUACUAUUGUUACAGUAUUACUUCUUUGAAUUCCAUUUUUGGGUAUGUGGGAUUGGUUGUGGUAAAUUUGUGAUUUUUUUUUUUUUGGAUUUUUCAUUUUAUCUCCGAGCUUCAGUAAUGGGUUUGUAUGUAGUUACAUAAUCAUGAACUCGUACAAACCUACAAAAAAUUAUUCUACACUAAGGAAGAUAUAAUAUUGUUUUUAUGUGAAUCCUAUUUGUCAGCGCGGAAUUCUUUUUAAAGCAUCAGUACAACAAAAAGAGCAUACGCAAUUUGUUUGUCAAUUUGUCUAAUUGCAGGAGGCGGCUUUUCACCAUGAUUAAUGGCCUUCCCACUAUAUAUGAAGUUGUGACCGGGACUUCGAAGAAGCAAUCAAAAGAAAAAACCUCCAACAGCAGCAAGAACAAAUCAGGCUCCAAAGUUAGUACAAAUAGUAUUUCUUCCUUUAUUCAUCCUUUUUUUUUGAAGGGUAACAUGCGCCGAGGUCCCUAACCUUUUUAGGAAGCUUCAAUUUACCCCCCUUAACUACAAUUGUUACAAUUGGUACCCUAACUUUUGCAUUAUAUUGCAAUGUCAGCCUUCUGGUAUCGCUGCAAACUCUGAAUUUUAUAAUAUAUGCCGUUGGCAAAUUUUGAUUUCCUACUCACUGAAGUGUCUCUCUGUAAAAAGCUUUUUCUAACGGAAAACCAACUUUCCCUCAUGAAUUGGAUGACUAUGCUACUUAAAGAGUAAUUUUGUAAGAAACUACGCUUUCAAGGGGCUUACAUGAAGAUUCAGAUUUUGCAGGGAUAAGUGUAAAUAGAUGAUUUCACAGGGGCGCAUGUAAAAUCCCCUUUCCUUUUACUUGCAAUUGAACUGAUCUUAUCAAAAUUUGGAACACGAAGGCCUCGAAGGUGGCUCCCAAGAAAGAGGAGGAAGAGCGAGAAGGGGAGGACGGCGAGGAGUAUGAGGAAGAUCACGGGAGCACUCUGUGCGGGGCGUGCGGGGAGACCUACGCGAACGACGAGUUCUGGAUCUGCUGCGACGUGUGCGAGAAGUGGUUCCACGGUAAGUGUGUUCGGAUCACCCCGGCCAGGGCCGAGCACAUCAAGCAGUACAAAUGCCCCGGUUGCAGUAACAACAAGAGGGCUAGGGCUUGACAGGCGUCGGCGAGCUUAACGUUUAUUGCUUCAACAUUUAACGGUAGAACCAUCGGAAAAUUAGGGUUAGAAGAACCAUUUUGGGGGCCACGUGUUGCGAUCGAUAGGAUUAUGGUCUUGUUGUAGAAUCAGGUGUAGGCUUUUUCUUUUUCUUUUUUCUCCCCUUCCUUUUUGGUGGUGCUGGACAUAAUCUGUGUUAAUUAUUGGUGUUUGGAUGUGUGUUUGUGUGGGGGAUCUUCUCUGUAGUGUUAAACUAACUUUAACAAGUAGUUGAAGUUUCUCAGCUUCUUAAAAAAAGUGCUUUUCUUUCAGUGGAUCUUCUUCUUCUGGUAGAGAGCUUUUAUUUACUUUGAUUUAGUUGUAACAAUGAAGAUGUUCCUUUUUACGACUACGAAGUGCAAUUUUAGUAACGAACUUAGUUGUCUCUGGAAGAUGUUACUGUUGAUAUGGGACACUGGUGACUCAAAAUCUUUUUUAGAGCCCUUUUGGUGUUCUUCAGGCUCAUCAAUCACUAAUAAGUAAUAAAUAGAGUUGAGGCGAAGAUAUACUGAAAUAAUAUGCAAAUAUGAUAAAUCAUACUUAUGUAAUAUAAUUUUUCUACAAUUUCAAACGAAACCUAAGUUGAAAGUUUAUAAGGACCGUUGGAUCAAAUUGCAUUAUUAUUAAGUGAAACAUGUUUAGGAACUAUAUACUCUCUUUAUCGGCGUCGGGCGAAUUGUGAGUUUAUUUGGGUUCGCGGUAUCUCUUGUUCUGCGGUUAGUUAUAUUUUUACGAAGGAUUCAUUACAAAUCAAUCUUCAAUAGGGCCAAAAAUCUUCCUUUAGAGAUGUGCGACGUCACGUCAUUGGCUUUGGACUGCAAUAAUGCAUCCAUAGCUGACUCUGAUGAUUCAGAACAUUUGUUCAAAGUACGUAUUUGUAGUGUGUAGUUGAUGAUUCAGAAUAUUUGUUCAAAGGUAUGUAUGUAUUUGUAGUGUGUAGUGCUCGUUCAUAAUUUUGUAACAUAAGUAUGCUUUAGUAGAACUGAGCUCGGGGGGACUCGGAAUCACUUGACAUCUUUUUGCCGAACUUUUCGCCCUAUAGCUUUACACUACAGUAGAGGCAAAUUCAUGAGGAAUUCUACACUGUCACACUUGCACCACGUCAUCAAUAAUAAGUCAAUCAUAUUUUUUUUUUUCAAACAAAAAUAUAAUAAUUUUUUUUUUUUUUUACAAUCAUGAUGGAACAUAUACCCCUAAAAUGAGACAUUUGAUUGAUUUGUUACGCCACGUCGUCAUCAAUAUAUCCGUUGGAUUCUAAAAUUUUUCCAAAUGCAGAGCCCUGGAGGAUCUUUCAGCUUUUACCCGAAUUUUGUUUGACAUUAGCAUCUCUGUUCUUUGUUUGGCAACAGACACUAAUAAAAGAUAAAACAAAUGCUAUUUCUAUAUAAUUUGAUAUGCCAAUAAAAAAAAAAGCAGCAGCUUUUCUCUUAGAUUAGCUUAUAAUAUAUUUUGGCUAAAAGAUUGAUGAUAAUUAAUUUAUUUUAAAAAAAUUCAAAAGCCAAAAACAAUUGCUUCUAAAGUUUUGUUUAUUUCAGUGUCAAACAAAAACAUACAUUAUUCCCUCUUACGAUAUUCCAUAUAGACCUUGUUUGGUAUCGUAUUUAUUUUUUAGUUUUGGGAAAACUUCAGAAAACCCCCUGUGGUUUCAUAAUUUCUCACUUUGCCCCCCUGUGGUUUAAAAUAUAUCAAAUUACCCCCCUGUAGUUUCGUUUUUAUCUUUUCGGUAGCUUUUUCGUUAAUAUUUAAUUAAAUUAUAUACAAAAAACUUCAGAUACCUAUCUAGAUUUAUCAAAUAUUCACUUUAGUACCCUUUAAUUUUACUUUAUAACUGAUUUAAGAAAAAAAAUAAUAAAAUUGAUAAGAAAAAAAGAAAAAAGAAACCAUUGGAGGGCAAAUUGAUACAUUUUAAACCACAGGGGGGCAAAGUGAGAAACUACGAAACCAUAGGGGGGUUUUUUGAAGUUUUCCCUUUAGUUUUUAAAUGAAAUUUUAGAUAUCAAAAGAUGUAAGAUAGUAUAUUGGACUAUAAGCAAUCCUUUCAUCCUAAGUGUUUAUUUGACAACAAAAUGUCAAAAAAAAAACUGAAAAACAACUUUUUUUUUUUUACUUUCAAUAUUUCUCUUUUUUUAAAAAACAUAAGUUGUUAUCUAUCAUUAACGGGAUGCAUUGUAAACAAACCAACUAUAAAAACAAUAGAGAAGUCCUUCCUACAACACAUCAAUUUAUUUACACAGUAUUUGUGCUUUUUUUAGGAAAAAGUGAUAACUAUACAAAACUAGGCCAUAAUUUUUUUGUUUAAAAAACGAGGAAAAAAAAAAAAAAAAAAAUCUAAUAGAGGUGAGUUAUCAUAUCCCUAAAAAUUUGGACCACAUGCUCUUCAGUUCACUUUCAAAUAUCUUCUUAUAUCUCUCUAAAACAAAAAUAAUAUCCCAACCAUGAGAAAGUGUAAUGCAUCUACUGAGACCCUAAAAUGGAAGAUCAUGAGAAAGUGCAAUGCAUCCCAUCAGACCCUAAAAUGGAAGAUUAAAAGAUUGAUAUUACUCAGUAAACAUUGCAUCGUUAUUCGUUAAUGAGGUUGAUAGCAUAAGCACUCACGAACUAUCCCAAAAAUACGUGCUGACAUGAAAAACACAUCCAUCGCACUUACGGGCACAUCCAUAGCGCCUCACGGAUUUUGACCUAACUCAAUCUGUAUGAAUGUUGGAGAUCUUGUGGAUCGCAUCCCCAGUCAACUUAUUGGGCUCAACCCAGCUUAAUUUAUUGCUCUCCUGAGUUCAUUGUCACGGGAUAGAAAGUUGAAUAUAUUUUAGACAAUAAUAAAUAGCCAACAUAAGUUACACUAGCAGACCGAAUUACAACAACCCCCAAAAAAAAAAAAAAAGGUUGCGAUUUUAACACCAUUAAAUUUAACACAAAAGCAUUAUGAUAUCGAAUGCAUUCUGAACCUACAACUUUCAAAAUCUAAAUACUAUCAGUUAUUUUAUGCAUGCUUAAGCAGUUACAAUGUUUUAAUAUUUCCAGAUAGAACUGCUAAAGGAAAUUUCUCCACCAAAUUAUGAUGUCGAAACAACUCUGGAUUUUUGCCAGUAGAGGUCACAGGGGGGUUUGGCUUUAAAAAAUGUUGGUCAGCAUAUGUGAAAAGUAGUUGCUAGGGUUGAAUUUUAAGGCAUAUUGAUGUAGGAAUCUAGCUACUAUCCUUUUAGAGGGGCAGAGGCCUUCGUCCUCUGAAGUCGUGUUAGAUAAUAAGGAUCCCGAAUCGAUGAUUUGAACCGUUAAAGUUGAUUUAGAGUAUUAAAAGUGUUAGAAACUAAAUUUUAUAAAUUUUAAAAAUUAUUUCCGUAGUUAUCAAAAGAUCACAAAAUCAACAGUUUUUGAUGGCCUAUACGAGCCGUUUGCUUAUUUAACGGUGUAAAACAAUCCAAGCAGCUUGAAUUUUAGAUAGGAAAUUCUUUAUACUAUUUAAAUAACAUUUGAUAACUCCGAUCAUGAAUUGAAAAAGUUCAACAUCUAUUUUCACAAGAUUAUUCGUUUUCGACCGUUCAUUUUUUCGACUCUUCAAUGAACUUGAUAACGAAUUUUAAAUGUAUGAAAUUUAGUUUUUAAAUGUUAUAUAUACUCUAGAUCAACUUUAACGGUUCCGAUCAUCAAUUCGGGAUCCCUAUCAUCUAAAACGACUUAGGAGGACGAAAGCCUCCGUCCUCCUAAAAGGAUACUAGUUGGACUCUCGAUACAAGUAUCUAAUUUGAAAAGUUUUACUCUGCCUACCUUACUAUAUAGUAUUUGUAAAAUAAGUACCCAAACUUUAGUACUUUUGCUUCUACAACCAAAUCUUAUAGUAUUUGAGAUAUUUUUGACCAAACAUCCCAAGAUCUAGUAAAAUAUUUUACUACUAAUCAGAAUAUUCUACGGAAAAAAAAAAAAGAACAAAUAAAGUCAGGUCAAGCAGGAAAAGUAAAACUUUCUGAAGUUCAGGUAAUAAUCUACAGGUUAUAAUUUACAAGCAAAACUUCUCUAGAGCUUACUUUUCCUAUGCCAAAACAUGCAACUACUUCAGAUAAGGCCAGGGCAUUUUGUGGCAAACAUCAUAUUUUUUUUUUUCCCAACAACAGGUAAAAUGAAUCAUCUACAGAUCAUUCAUAUCAUUUCUUAUCGAAGUUUUGAUAUAAUAGUAGCAUAAGCUUUAACUAAACAAACUAAAGAAUUGUGAAACUACACAUUAUCAUUCCAAUUUGAACUAGCUAUUUUGAUCAAGACUUUUCAAAGAAACUCCCUGUAGCCGCCUGAGUCAAUCGAAAUUGCCAAGAACAAGACUCUAAUAGCAGGGAUAAAUUAGCAACUGAAACCGACGUUUCAAACUUUACAUCCAAUUAGACCGAGUAUUUAAAAGUUCUUUCCACGAGCAAAUUAUAUCCAUCUAUUAAAUCAUGCAGAAACCACAUAAUUCACUAAGAAGUAAUACGUUUCGAGAACGCGAAAUCCGUACAACCAAGAAUAAGUUUUCUAAAGUCCGCUCACUUGUAAACAUCUCGUUAUCUCUUUCAGCAGCAGACCACUAGAUAUAGUUUGUUCUUGUACUCAAACAGAAGGCUCUGAAUGCCAUCACCAACCGAUUGGUUGACUUGGUGGUGUUCAAUAGUUAAGGAAGUAUAUAUACUAAAUCAAGUACACCAAAUUGCACAUAGAAAGAAGUGGGAUAUUAAUAUUACGAUGCCUAUAACCUAUUUGGGCCUGUUUGGAUGCGAGGAAGUCGUGCGUGGAAGUCGAGUCACGCUCCAUUAUAUGGAUGCGUGAAUUCAGAAGCUGACCUUUGCUUGUACACAAAAUGUGAGAGAAGGUCAAGAUUUCUUGUACGAUGUGUGAUAUGUGAUCUUCGUAACUGUGCAGUUGAGAUAAGGGCAUCCGAACAGGAGGCCCUUAGUCUCCUACAAUCUCAAAUAUCCACGACCUCUUUGCAACUUUUCGAAUCUACAUCUUCCAACUAUACACCAUUUUAAACCUUGGAUACCCAACCAAAAUAUACAUAGAUUGAUUUGUUUCGUGUUUAAAGAGAGAGUUAUUAACAUGGGUAUGCAUCACAGCUAUAUCUUUGCAUAACUAAGUUCCGUUGAAAUCAUGCAGAGAUCCAGAAACAAAGAAAUCGCAAAAGGCAUUACCUUUCAAGUAGUGCACCUCUCUUUUCCUGCUCCAAUCUUAAUCCUGUAACUUCUCAAAUCUAUAGAUCACCAAUUCUCCCCCCACUAAUUCUAUCAUUUGAACUCGAAUAUCUACUCCAUCUUCGAUCGCUCUUUCCAUUCGAAUCCUCGUUGAUAGAUAGAUUAGAUAUAUCCGCAGUCGGCCGAAGAGAACUCCUCCAUCUACUGUUCCUAUUCGCCCUUCCAUCGACUCCUCUCCGCAUUUGAUCUCCAUUUCUGAUCAAAGAAUCAUCACCUGAAUCCAAUCGAAAACUGUCCCUUUCUCUUGUUGAAUCGGUGAUCUCCGCAUCGAUUGGUGGCUCCCCGGAACUCCUCACGCUCCUCCUCCUCCUCCUCCGUUGCCGCCCUCCGAUCCCAAACCGUAGAUCGUCUCCUCCCCUUUCGAGAUCAACCUCUCCGUCCUCCUCCUUCGAAUCGGUGAUGCCGUAGGGCUUCACGCUGUGCACUGCUCCCUUCGGGAAGAACCUCGCGGAGGGGAGGUCGCCAUCGUCGGUGGUCGGCGGAAGCUUCUGGAAUAUCUGCGGCCCGUCCCGGUCGUUCCACGCGUCGAACCCCCCGGGGCGGCGGAACCGGUCGGCGAGCGCCUUCACCUGCUCGUCGGCGCUCACCGAGAACAGCGUCUCCGCCGGCGCCGGCGCCGGCGGCGGCGCCUCCCACGGCCUCUCGAGCUGCGCCGCGGCGGCGCGGAGCUCCGCGCGCUUCCGCAUCUCGUAGAUCUGGCGCUCGCGGCAGAGGCGGGCCUUGAGGAGCUGCUUCCCCUUCUUCGCCUGCAUCCGCUUCCACUGCCACUUCGAGACCCCUCCCGGGUACGUCCGCGGCCCCCCUCCCAUCCGCACCGGCGCCACCGCCCCGCCGUAACCGCCGCUGCGGCGGCGGAGGACGAGGGCGAGGGGGUAGGAGGAGGAGGAGGAGGAGGAGGAGGAGGAGGAGUAGAGGGUGAGGUGGGUGGUCGAGGGGGAUAAAACCCUAAGAGACGAGAUCGGGGUCGGGGGAUUGGGGAGCCGCGUGCUUGGGAGGGAGAUCGUUGUGGGGAGGAUCGAAGAGAUCGCCAUUGCUGUGGUUCGAUCGAUCGAUCGAUCGAUCGAGAGCUUCUUCUUCGUCCUCGGCGCCGAAUUCGAGUAAUUUAAAACGAAUUUUCUAGGGUUUAAGAGGAGCGAUGUUGGUAUACGUUGUGGAGGAGCAGUGGAGAAACCACGGUGUAUCCAUUACGUUGUGAUAAGGUGUCCGAAAGGACUUUUUUUGAAACUAACCCUGUGAAAUUUCAUAUUUGCCAAAUUAACCCUGUGAAAAUUUUAUUUGUGAAACUAACCCUCCUCUCGCCACCUCAGCUGCCACAUCAGCAUAUAUCACAAAGACGGUGACUCGUUCACCGUCUUUCNUCACCGUCUUUAAUAAGACGGUAAACUAUUAACCGUCUUAUCUGUGUUUUAGCCCAACCACAACUUGGCCAAUUUACUCUGAAGACGGUGAAUAGUUAACCGUCUAAUGAAGACGGUAACCCAUUCACCGUCUUAUCUGUGUUUUAGGCCCCCUCUCAAGGACUUGGCCAAAUUAGGCUGGACUUGGCCAAAUUAGGCUGGGUAGGGCGAUAAGACGGUAAAUUGUUUACCGUCUUUUAGAAGACGGUAAACAGUUAACCGUCUCCUUGUGCCGCGCGGGGAAUUGCUGAGAAGGUGGUAGGGUGCGCGGGGAAUUGCUGAAAAGGCGGCAUGCUUUUUAGGCCCCCUCUCAAGAACUUGGCCAAAUUAGGCUGGCUAGGGAGAUAAGACGGUAAAUUUUGUUUACCGUCUUUUAGAAGACGGUAAACAGUUAACCGUCUUAAAUAGGCAUCUUGUGCCACGCGGGGAAUUGCUGAGAAGGUGGUAGGGUGCGCGGGGAAUUGCUGAAAAGGCGGCAUGCUACGCCUAGAGAAGACGGUUAACGAUUUACCGUCUGAAUAAGACGGUUAACCAUUUACCGUCUUCAAGAGCUAUACUUAUAAACGGUGAACGAAUCACCGUCUUUAUGAGAAAUGCUGACCUGGCCGCUGAGGUGGCGAGAGGAGGGUUAGUUUCACAAAUAAAAUUUUCACAGGGUUAGUUUGGCAAAUAUGAAAUUUCACAGGGUUAGUUUCGAAAAAAGUCCUGUCCGAAAUUGGGGGGUUUAAUUGCACAUGUAUCCCUUCAAAAUAAUAAAAUUGCAUAUUUACUCGGACAAAAUUUCUAAAAUUGCUUAGUUUGCAAGAUAAUCCCUAUCCGCUAGUUGGCCGGUUUAAGGUUAACUUCUCUUCUACAAAAUAACCAUUCUUCCCUUAUAAAAUAUUUUUUUUUAAAAAAAUCCUACUUAAUAUUUUUUAUUAUUUUUAACAUAUUUAUUUUAGUUUACGAGUCAUUUUGAAUUCGAUAAGAAUUUUUUAAAAUACUAUACUUUUAUCAAGACAUAAAUGAUCCUAACAGGAAAAAAAAUUGAUGAUCAACUACCUCCAAUAAAUACCUGUAAGCGAAAUUUGCGUAUUUUGAAACAUGAGAGAGAGCGAUAUUUAAUACCGACAACUUUUGCAGGGAUAAGUUUGUAAUUUUAAAUUUUUGCAGGAGUACAUAUGAAAUUAUUCCCAUUCGAGACAAAUUCGUUUGAAUCUUAGCAUAGUCUCUCUCUCUCCUACAUACAUGGGGAAGCUAUUUAUUUAUGGAUUUUUCUCUUAUCCUUUUUUUUUUUUUGUAUUUUGUUUUCUCAUUGGGGAAUUUUUUAUUUUUUUUCCCCAAGUUUUUCUGCAGGGGAAGGAGGAAUGCACAUGACAGGUAAAAAAAUUAUAUAUAACGGUUGAAAUGUAUCCAGACACGUUCUUGAUAGACGGAUAUGAUUUAACAUCCUUACAUCAAAUUAUAUAUAAGUAUGUGCCAUACGGGAGUUCCAGUCUAAUCCUAAUUCUAAUUUCUGUGACAGCUCCAUCUCUGAGAAUAAGAAAAUUAGACUCGAAACGUCUCGCUCAUUUGCAGAUCGUGAACAAGGACGAAUCACAAGAAAGAAUCGCCGUUUACAAUCCGAAUAUAAAAAUCGAAAUCAUGGUAGAAGCUUCUUAUAAAGUUUAACAACAACUAUAUGAAUACUUCAACUAUAAACUAGUUGAUGAAACGCAAAUGCUUUUAAGCCACUUAAACCAGGCCACAGUUGUUACGAAGGCCCCCCCUCAAAUAAGUUAGAGAGAGCAAAGAAACAACCAUGAGCAUUUCUUAGAGACAAUUUUGUACCUCGAUUCACUCCGAGGAAUGUGAUCGCAAAACUGUUUUUUUAUAGGUGUGAUUGCAAACACGCGACGGCAUCGUUAGGAGAAAGAAAAACUGUUUUUUUAUCGGUGUGAUUGCAAACACGCGACGGCAUCGUUAGGAGAAAGAAAGAACAAUAAACAAGACGUGGAGAGAACCAGUUCCUUCGUACCUGGAUUUGGUUAAGUUAUUUGUUCAGCAGUGGAGUUGCUUCAUCCAAGGCAGGCUCAGUUUCCGAGGACCAACUUCCUGAACUGGGCUAUCCGUUCUAAUGCGAGCUCGAACUCGGAAUUCUCGAGUGCGAAGCUGAAUCGGCAGUAGUCGGGAAUUCCGGUCCACGACCCGCUGUUUAUGCACAAUCCGGUGGACUUAAGAACAGCUUGUCUCAAAUUACUGCUACUGAGCUUAUCUGAGAAGCCGUUUACGUUGAGCGCUUUGCCUAGAUAAGCUGUUGGCUUGGCCACCAUGGAGACGCCGCCGCAGCAGCCGACCACUUCCCAUCCGCAGGUUUUGAGCGUCUGCAAUAAGAUAGUCGGUAUAAAAAAGUAAGAGACGAGGAUUAAACGAUCAAUCUAGAGUUUAAGCCUUUCCUAUUUGUUGUAGCUGAUUUAGUUUUGGUCUCCCUGUGAUUAUGGGAAGAAAUUUUUGGAAAGAAAUUUUUAGCAUUCAAGGAAAAAUGGAAAUGAUGAUAUGUUACUAAUGAAAGUUUGGGGGGUAAAGACCAGAGAAAACUUAAAACAGAUGACUUCAGAAGAGUGCUGUGAGUUAAUUUUUCAAAUGAUUACAGAUUUUUAGUCCUUGAAGUUUCACUCUGAGCGUGCCUUUGGUUCACGCUAAUAAAGAUAAGCAACACAUUCAAAUUUUAAAGUUGAAGAGUCAUUAAUUAGUUCAAAUCAAAUAAAUUAAAAGGCUAAGUAGUAAAAUCAAAAUUUUGAAAAGAUAGGUAGUCAGAUCAAAAUGGGUGAUAGUUGAGAUAAAUUAUAUACAUUUUUACCUUUUGUUAAAUAUCUAAGCCUCUAAUGCAAUUUUUUCUCACAUAGCAUAAAAUGUAAAGAAAUUAUAUUUGUAAAUGCAGGAAAUACGAUAUAAAAACCUAACCUCCAUCAAGCGAUGGGCCCGAUUCUUCAGAGUCUCCUUAUGUUCAACAACAGCAUCAGAAAAUUGAUGAGCCUUUUGAUCCCUAAUAGUCAACAACUUCUUCACAGCAUAUUUCAUGGUGCUAUGUGGUCGGCUCAAGCUCGGGAAACUAUAGAAUGCCUCUAUCAAAGACGGCUCAUUCAUUAGUAAAAAUCCAAAUUCGAGUCCUCCUGAUAGCAACUCGAAGGACAACCCACCAAGAAGAGAUACGCAGAAGCCCUUAUGCAAAGAAGUAAUUGAGGAAAGGCUUUUUUGCAGAUCCCAACUCGUCCAAUUGUCUGUUUGAAAUUCUAAGCCCGAAAAGGAGGUGUCAAUCACAACCCUAGCUCCAAACUUAGCACAAACAAAAAGUAUCUCCUUUAUCUCCUCAUCGGUAUAAAGCAAUCCAGUUGGGUUAACUGUUGGGCCUGAGAUGUAAAGCCACGGUUUUUCUACAGUCUGGAAUAAGCCCUCAAGUGCUUUUGGCUGAACUUUGAAGCCGAAAUCCGAAUGAGUUGGGAUGGCCGCAAUGUUUGCCUUCAUGAACUUAGCUGCUGAGAUGUAGUGGCCGUUAGUUCCUGAGGGGAAACACAUAGUGCCCUUUUCUUGAAUGCAGCAAAGGACAAGCUUGUUAAAAAGGGCGAGAUGGGAAUUCGCAUAAAUAAUUUCCGAGUUAGUGUCGGAUGGAAAUCCGUAGUUAUUCUUAACUAGGGUUUGUAUUGCAGAUCUGACAUCGGUUUCUGACUCAACCAUGUUUUGCCUAGCAAAGCUUUCAAAAAUACAAGCUUUUACUAAGGAAGGUAUAGGGAGGAAGCUUUGGUCGACAUCCAUGUGGAUGACCGGAUGUUCUGCGAAGCCGUUGAUGGAGAGCUCAGAUUCAUUUAGGCUUGAGAUGGCAGAAGUUGAAAAGCCGAUCAUCUCCAUGGACUUUGCGUCAGCACACUCCCUCUAAUCAGAAAGACAAAAGCAUAAAUAGAGUUAGAAUUUGAGGAUAAAUGUAAGAAAAAAUUCCGUGAAAUCACUUCAAUCAGUAUGGUUUUAAAUGGUGUAACUCCUAUACCUCAUGAUGUAUUUUUCUUUGCUCCACUUAAGCAUGUUUGGAUGCAUGAAUAACUUAUCCAGCAUAUUUAUUCUAGUUUACUCAAGGCAAUUUGCUGGUUGGUUGUGGGAGCCACAACAAAAUCUCCACGAGAUAGAACAGAUUUAGUAACGCCUUUUUUUUUCAUAUGACAAAUCGCAUAGUAGGUGACAUCUAUCAACCUAAGAAGUCAAAAUCAUUAACAUUAUACAAUAGGGUGACGCAAAACUCCUAUGCUGUAAUUGCCGGAGAAAACUCCAUAUAAGUAAUCGAGACGACCAAACAGGUCAUUACUCAUCUAUUACCAUGCAAAGUAGGUCAUAGUAUCCAGAGACACCACGAAACUACGUUUCAGGGAAUUGUUAGGUUCGUUGUCCCCAUCCUUGACCAAAUAAGCCUCAGUGGGUGCACCUAUCCUGCUCAUUAUUUUCCUAGGUAAAUGCACAGCUGUACACUGAGGUUCCAUACUGCAAGUCUCCUGCAGGUACUAGCGUGUUUGUAAAGUGCAGGUAAUUUCACUAUCAAAAUCAAGUACACCAUAGCAAACAGCUCACUGAAAUGAUUAAAAUGCCUCUACAAGACAAAAGAAAUGCUACUUUGCAAGUGAAAACUAGGUUGUAUUGCACUUUUGCAACCAGAUUUCAUAUUUAUUCAUCCGAAUAGCAGGAAAUUAAAAAAUGGAAACAUAAAAUAUAGUUGGAGUUGAAAGCAUGGGAAAAGAUAGAUUGGAGAGUAAGAUACCUCGGGAAGUGGAUGACGGUCGGCUAUUUGAAAUGCCAAUAACUCAUGGAAUAGACAACCAUAAUAGUGCUGGCUAAAUAAAGCAGUAUGCCCUUCUAGUAACUCAACAGUCUUCGAUAAUGCUUCAUAGAUGGUCACAUCUUCCGAAAUGACAAAAGCAACUUCCAAAUCAGAAUAAACCUGAAAAAGAAGAGUUUUAUAACAUUAAGGUCUACCAAGAAUAAUACAUAGACAAGGUCAAGUUAAAAUGGUCAUUUCUUAUGAACAACAACAUUAGUUUAAUAGUCAACUUUCAGCUACUGUUAAAAAAAAAAAAAAAGAUUUUCAGCUAUCAUAUAAGAACAAGUCUGAAAAUAACGAAUCUAGCAUAUCACUUAGCCCAAACUUCAGCGUUGCGAAGCAAUGUCAAGUUGCAAUUUAGCAAUUUAAACCCAGAUUAAAGAGGACUUGAUGCCUGGCUGACAGCAAGCUAAAAAUGAACUAAAGAAAGGCAAAUCAGAAAGUUGCUCUAAGAACAUAACGACAAUGUUAUUAGCACUUACUCGAACAACUUUAUUCAAACAACACUUCUGCAAAAGUUCUAACUGACCCAAAUGGCCCUUUAGAUUAAAUAAAUGUAGCACUUUCUACUUCCUCAAAAGGUAUAACGUACAGAUUUUGCCUGAAUUAUACUGUAGUUUAAAAUGGGACCUAAGUUUGAAAAGCUUGAUUUUUUACUAUAUCUCCUUUGACCUUUCACUAAUUCCAUCAAAUUAUUUAAAACUUGAUGGUUUGCACCAGAUAAGUUAUAGAACAUUCCAUAAUAGUGUUAUAUUCUAGUAGAACAUGAUGUACACCAAUAAGAAAGCUGAAAGUACCAUUAAAUUCUGACAGAAAGGUAGUUAAAUCAGAUACUUUUAUCGUCUGAUCCUAAAAUCAGAAUGUUAAAGUUUAGGUAUUCAUUUCAAAACUCACUACAAUUCAGGUAAUGUUUGUAAAUUUUUGCUUCUCAAAACCAAUCCACCAGUUGGAAGCUACAUUACCUUAUUUUUCACGAGACCACACAAAAUUGCUGCAUGAGAAGGCAUAGUUUUUCCAGCAAGGUACUUCAGCACUCCAUUAGAACCAGGCAGACUGGACAAUUCAAGAUGAUCCGAUAAAUCAAGAAAAAGGCGAGACCCAAUAACUUUAGUUGUAUUUAAUAGAUUUUCAAAUGCUGAGCUGGUAAUAGCCUCAAAAUGAGCCAUGCCUGUUACAACAACUUGUGGCUUUAAUUUCUGGAUCAACUCAAUCAUCAAAUCCGAUUGGCGAGGGGCCUCUAUAACUGUAAGAAUGUCGUCUUUUCUGUCAUUGCUCAUGGUUCCCUGAAAAGACAACAUCUUUUGUUAUAUGAACUGUACAAAUAGAAUUGACUUUUAAGGGGGAGAGAGAGAGAGAGAGAGAGAGAGAGAGAGAGAGAGAGAGAGAGAGAGUACAUCAAUUGCCAAGGAUGUUAACCAUUGCUUGGGGAGGUGUUUGGUUAAAUGUUCAUCAACAAUAGCAAGUCUUGGGGAGAAAAGCCGAAGAGCACUCUCUAUUGCCACAGCCCGAGAAGGGAAUACCACAACAUUCUUGUGAACCACAGAAGCAGAGAUCAGAAAUAAAUUGUCUACUUUAAUGCAUUGACAAAUGUUACCUCAGAAAAGAGAGGUUAAAAAAAAAAACUACUAGAAGUUCCUGACACUAUAUCAAUCAUUACUGCCAAAAAGGAUAAACAUGCCUCUAGCAUUUCAAAUUUUCUGGAAUUUUACCAUCUCUGUGAGAAAGUCAAACAAAGUUCCCAUCAUGUAUCACAUAGCCUAGAAACUCGAGUACUGUCAAAGAGAGUUAUUUCAUUCCAGAUGUAGAAUAUGCAAUACCCUCUAAUUCUGGUUUCUAUUUUGAGGAAACAAUAGUCCUGGUUUCUAGAGAAGCACAAAAUUCCACUAGGAAACAUACAUAGUUAGACAAUAAGGUUGUAAAUAGGAGUUGAUAUAUCACAUUGUUCCACAUCUCAAUAUCUAUCUAAUUUGUAACUCAAAAAUCAGAUAAAAAAUUAGAUAAAAGAGAUCUACUUUUACUAAUACUAUCAAAAUUGAUAGUUUAUUGAACAAUUUUAUUCAAUUUAUAUGAGUUUACUGCAUUAAUUAUAACCAACUUCAUUCACCAAUUUGUUUCUACAAAGUUUUACAGGUGAACUCAACAAUUAUUCCAAAAUUUUGGACCUAUUUAAAACAAU
rnacentral:lncRNA from 1 species